CGAACGAUGAAACCGCCCCCGGGCGGACAUGAAGUGGCGAACGGGUGAGUAACACGUGACCGACCUGCCCCCCGCCCCAGGGACAGCCCCCCGAAAGGGGGAUUAAUACCUGGUACUCCGGGAGCGGCGCAUGCCGCCCCCGGGAAAGCUCUGGCGGCGGGGGAUGGGGUCGCGGCCCAUCAGGUAGACGGCGGGGCAGAGGCCCACCGUGCCGACGACGGGUAGCCGGGUUGAGAGACCGACCGGCCACAUUGGGACUGAGAUACGGCCCAGACUCCUACGGGAGGCAGCAUG
rnacentral:rRNA from 1 species